rnacentral:rRNA from 1 species
GCCUAACACAUGCAAGUCGAGCGGUAGAGAGAAGCUUGCUUCUCUUGAGAGCGGCGGACGGGUGAGUAAUGCCUAGGAAUCUGCCUGGUAGUGGGGGAUAACGUUCGGAAACGGACGCUAAUACCGCAUACGUCCUACGGGAGAAAGCAGGGGACCUUCGGGCCUUGCGCCAUCAGAUGAGCCUAGGUCGGAUUAGCUAGUUGGUGGGGUAAUGGCUCACCAAGGCGACGAUCCGUAACUGGUCUGAGAGGAUGAUCAGUCACACUGGAACUGAGACACGGUCCAGACUCCUACGGGAGGCAGCAGUGGGGAAUAUUGGACAAUGGGCGAAAGCCUGAUCCAGCCAUGCCGCGUGUGUGAAGAAGGUCUUCGGAUUGUAAAGCACUUUAAGUUGGGAGGAAGGAUUGUAGAUUAAUACUCUGCAAUUUUGACGUUACCGACAGAAUAAGCACCGGCUAACUCUGUGCCAGCAGCCGCGGUAAUACAGAGGGUGCAAGCGUUAAUCGGAAUUACUGGGCGUAAAGCGCGCGUAGGUGGUUUGUUAAGUUGGAUGUGAAAUCCCCGGGCUCAACCUGGGAACUGCAUUCAAAACUGACUGACUAGAGUAUAGUAGAGGGUGGUGGAAUUUCCUGUGUAGCGG